GCAGCGGCUUACAAUUAAGAGCUCUUCAGCCCAGGGAAGUAAUGUUUGACAUCUUUGAAGGACAAUAAGAGUAGCAUCCCAACUCUGCAGAACCACUUGGUUCAGAUAUAGAUCGAAGCGCUCACAGAGAUUGCCACAGCAGUGUUCUUCUGUCAUUUCAAGAAAUUCUGCUGCACAUCUCAGGGCUGCUACAUUGAAAGGGUCAAUCAACGUGGAUGAACCAUAGAUGAAUAAUGCAAUCAUCUCAAAAGUCUCUGGCCCUCCAGGAAAAUUUUGAGGUUGAAAGUUCUGUUGCCAACUCGAAUCGUAUAGAAACAGGCAAACCAGUCUCUUGGCUCCUGAGACAAAGAUUCAUUAAACAUUAUUUUGAAGAAUUGAAAGCUAUUCAAGCCAUAACCAUAAAACAAUAAUCUUACCAUGAAACUAUCUUAAUCUUUAGCAGGGCACUGAUGUUGGGUGAAGAAAAGGGACUUGAGGCCACUGAUGAACUAUCUUUUGAGCUAACAGCUUCCAUUACAAAAGCUCAUGAAAGUGUUCUAAAAAGAAGAAAUUACUCAAAGUGAAACAGUAGCAAUUAAUCAGAGUUGAUUAUCCUGCAAGUAUAGAAUUGCUUCUCAUUUGGUUCCCUUCUUAAAUGAGAUUAAAUGGUAGGAACUCAUCCCAAGAAUUUAUAAUAUGGGUUUAUUAGAGAUUAUAGAAUCCAGAAAACAAGUGGGAAUGAAAGAGAAAAAAGAGGUAGUUUAGUGAGUCUGUGUAAAUAUAAUACACGGGCAUGAAGUUCAUAUUUUCUAGUCAAAGUCAAAUGCACACGGGUGUUAUAUCCAAAAUCCAACUUUCAAGCCUUCGAAAACGUUCCUCGAGUUCUGAGAAGUUGAUUUCUUGCUCCAAUGGCCCAAUGCCAAUACUACUGCCACUACUCGGGCACUGGAUUAUAUGACAUUGAAAGAUUGAUGAACUCUACUUAUUUGAACACAUAUGACAUUUAUUAUUAUUAUUAUAAAUUAUGGUAAUUUGUUAU